CCAGCGGCCAAGUCAAGACUCCUUGAAUGCUCAGGAAGGUGUGACUUGCAGAGGAGUUGAUUCCUUCUUAUGUACAUUUACUGGAGAAGUUUACAGCAGGAGACUGGGGUCUGAGACACACGCAUCUUUGUGUGCCCCAAAGAAUAAAGCCCUCAAAGGAUGUGAAGCCUGAACUCACUUCAAAUGCUGGAAAGGCCCUUUCCUUAGCUGAGCUGUGGAGGAACCAGGACUCCUGUGGCACUGCCCUAACGAGGAGGCAGUGCUGCCAGAUUCAGAAAAAUAUUUGAAGAAUCACAUAGUCAAAAGCAAAA
rnacentral:lncRNA from 1 species